rnacentral:tRNA from 1 species
GCUCCCAUGGCGUAGUGGUCACUGCGCUCGCCUUGCACGCGGGAGACCCGGAGGUUCGAUUCCCGGCGGGGUCA